CUUUCAUAUCAUAUUGCAUGUCAUCCUCAAGUUUACAUAUUUUUCUAUUGCACACCAUAUAAAAUACAGUGUAACAUAUCAAACUAUGAUGUCUAUUCCGCUUGUGUGUAUCCAACCAUGCAGUCAUUUAGGUGUGCUACAUUCCACAGGAAUGUUAUUCGGUGUCAUACAUUUUUAUGGCCUCGUAAGUUUACAUUAUGAGUUUAUUGUAAGUAUUGACGGACUAUUGUUUUAGCUAAAAGAGAGCAAUAUUGUAGUCGUUCAAAACCUUUUACAAGGGAAAGACAUAGUGAAAACAGUAGCCACUUCAAUGCCUCGAAGGUCUCAUGUUUCAAGAUACCAGAAGACAAUGCCUACAGCAUCCACUCUGCAAAGUAAUGCGAUACCAACUCUGCAGCAACAAUCUAUUCUGCCUCAAGGGUAAGUAUGAAUUAUGUAUCCCUUACUUCUUAGAAUGUUCUUUUUAUUUUACUUAGGACCUCAAUUUUACAAGCUUGAUUCAACAUGGAAAUCCCUUCUUACUUGGCUCGAGGACAAAAGAUGAAAGUAGCACAAGGAACUUUAGUCGGAGUUCCACACCGCGAAAAGAGACAAAACUUGACAUGCAAUGUAAGAAGGCCUGUAACCAUUGCAAAGACUAACACUCAUGUACAGAAGAGUUGAAGUAGGAACAACCUUGCAUAAUUAAUUCUCUUCACGAAUGGCCUUGUCUUUUUGUUUAAUUACUUAUUAAAUUUACAAAUCUACUCUCCAAAUGGUAAAGGAAAUGGGGACGUGUUCGGUUAAUGAUAGAGAGGGUAUUUUGGUAAAUAGUGGAUGGCAAAUUGGUGUGUUUCAUGAAUAUUGUCAAAGCUCAUUGGCCCCAUUUCCGACAAAUUAUUGGGGAAUUGAGAAAAUGUGUAUAAUAAAAUUGAAAUUUGAAUUAAUAAAG
rnacentral:lncRNA from 1 species